CAGAGCGCGGUGUCCGCGGGGCCGCCGCCGGCGCCGCGCAGGGUCGGAGGCAACCGCCUGCCCCGACCCUCCUCCGCCCGCUUCGGCCUUAUAUUUAAUACAUGCCCUUUCAUCUAUUAUUCAGGCUGCUCUGACUCCAGCUCUGUCUCGCCUCCCAUUUACGCCUGCACACCUUUCUCCUUCCCCUUCCCGAAGGGUCAGCCGAGACACUCGCCGAGGGAGGGAGAGAGCUGCUCUGCUGGUUUGGGUCUUGUCUGCUUAAACAUUGAACUGGAAAAGAUUCCUCCUCUCUGUGGUUUGAUAAAUAAUAAAAGUGAUCGUUUCGCCUUCCCCAUAAAUGACACAGAUGGAGGGGCACUGUGAGACUGACUGCUCCCUGUGCAGAGCUCAAGAGGCAGCAUACACAACAGAGGGUCAUUACGGAGGUUUAUAAGGAUCCAAAGAAGAAUCCAAGUACUGCAAUAUCUAAUUUCUGAGAUCUCUGCAGACAAAUUGUAUUUUCUCCAUUGUUUCAAUGCAUGGGGGAAGGGAAGUGUCACAGAAACUUACAAACCAGUCAGGGAUUCACAUGAAAUAGUAAAGCUCUUUGAAAACUAAGGACAGAGAAAGAUAUCAAACCCUUACUCAAGAAGACAAAGCUAUUUCUUUGACACAAGAAUUCUUUUAUAUAAGAGCCUGAGACACCACUUUUGCACACUGCUAUGCAAAACGUGACAAAUAAAAACUGAACAAUUAGAAAGUCUACA
rnacentral:lncRNA from 1 species